rnacentral:lncRNA from 1 species
GCCACUGACCGCUCGGCGAGCCAGCGGGAGAGGAUUAGGGCUCCCGAGGCAACUUGCUCGGGGCUCAGGCCGUUCUCCCCCGAAGCUCGGGCUGCCGGGCUGUUCUGGCUCUGGCCUCCCUCUCCUCCUCUUCCUCUUCCUUCUGUCCCCUCCCGCGUUCCUUCCCGGCCGCGCCGCCUGCGCCCUCGCCUCCUGUGGCGCUGCUCCUCCGCCCUGCGCUCCUGGGGUCCCCGCAGUCCGGCUGGCCGCGUUGCGCGCGGGGCUCACUUUCUGCCGCCGGUGGCGAGUGGCUGGUGGGUAGGUCUACCUGUUGACGAGGUCCCUCCCGGGCUCUAGGAAAAGGGGGGAACUUGGAGCAGGCCGUUCAGCUUGGUUUGGUCCCCACGCCGUGGUGCACAUCCCCGGGGCCUGGCCUGCCUUGGCUGCUCCGGAGGGCUAGUUCCUCCAGAACUGGCUGCGCUCGGCGCGCUAGGGGAAGAAGAAUCGGGAAUGGGAUGAUUAAACCCAGAGGAACUGUUUCCUGACUGCUACACCAUUACUCCGUCUCCCCCAACCUCAGAUAUCUAAAAACGUUGGGUGGGAGGAAAGGGGCGCUUCUUGCUGUUGGGACAAUCAGGUUGGAACGCACCGGUAAACCGAAGUUGACUCCGCGGACUGACUUUUUGUCUUUCAGACCCGCGAGGUCUGCUUCUCAGUUUAACUCUAGAAUUGAAGCUCACUAACCCGAAGCCAAAGAGCGAAAUGAUCUUUCAGUAGUCUAAAGUUUGUAAGAUUUUUAUAUACUGUUCAAUUCUUCUCACUGCUGGUCUCCUGCCCUUUGUUUUUAAGCAAACUUGUGCAACUAGCUGUGGUAUUUUGGUAAUUAUAAGGACAAGUCUCCAUGACUUUGUGGAGAUUUUUUAAAAAUGCAUUAGUCUAAGGGCGCGAGUAGGGAGGGAUUUAUUACAGAACAGUGAAAGACCUAUUUCACGUCCCCAGGCGUUAAUAUAUAAUUUUCUCUCGAGAAACUACUUGGAGAGAGAAGACUGUUAGGUGCAACUCGCCGGUAACCUUCUUCAAUCAUUCUUACAUGUUCCCAUCAUCUGUUACGGUCUCCCAAAGACAGUCACAGGAAGGCCACGAAGAACCCCCGCGCUUCCCCCAAAGCUUCUAAAAAGCCAUUUCUUAUCUAAUGGGGCUGCCAGUUUUAUCUAAAAAGUCCUACAGACACAAACCAUAGAAGGCUUAAUUUCGGUGUCUUGUUGCUGUGAGAAGACCCGGUGUGUUAGGAAACUCCUUUCUUUAUAUCUUUCGCAAAAUCUAACCCUUGAUAAGAGCUGUAAAUCCUGGCCGGCCGCAUUGGCUGGGCUUGAACGGGUAAUGCCUCUCCAAAGCGGAAAGGGAAUCAAAGAUGCGUAAGUUUCCUCCUGACCUAGCUGAGGCUUUCUUCCCCAGGAACUAGUUUUGAUUUGUUUUUUCUCAAGGAGGAUUUCAAAUUGGAUCUGUCUUCCCUUCCAUUUUUAUUAUAAGUUGUUUUAGAGCGCGUGUAUGAAAGCGAAAGUUGGAUAGACCUAGGUUGAUAAGUUUACCAGUUGUGUGGUGUGUGUUUUUUUUUUUUUUUUUUUUUGGUCUGUUUCUAGUCUCUGGUAUUAGAUGUAUGGAGCCUUUUGUCAGGCUGCUUUUGCAAAGCUGAUGCUGUUAAUCUCAAUACGAAGCAAAUCUUCCUAGUAUUUGUGUGUGUUUCCCAUAGAGAUAAACAUGUUGACCCUAGUAAAAAAAAAAAAAAAAAAAGAUACCACCACAAUGCCAGAAAAUAGAGUUUUACCUAGUCAUAUUCCAUCAUGCCACUUUUAUAAGAUGGAAUUAAACACCAGAAGCCACCAGAAGCCUGAUGACUUACAUUUGAGAUCCACAAAGCACCCUCACUAUCCAUCCUCCUUCAAACCAGCCCCCACCUCCCACCCACAGUGUGGUAUUUUAACUCCCUAAACCAAUAAGCUAUUACAAAGAAUUAUUGCAGAUGAUAGCACUUCCAAGUAGAAAAGCUUGCAUGCGGCUUGGGGGAAACCUUUAGUAAUAGACAAUUUCACCUUAAUGGUGAAGACAACAUUUUCCUCUUUUCAUUCUGCACCAUUGUUGUAAACAAGUAUUUUCUUAAUAAGUUCCUAAACUGAUAGAAGCAAGACGCAUGGUGAAGAUACCAGCAUUAAAAGGAGACGUUUGAGGGACCCCACCAUGAUGGACAUGCUCUGAAGUUCAGUGCAUGUAUCAUGACACAUUUUGCAUUAAAAUCCAAGUUAGAAUAGCAGGCUUUGUAGUUUUACUUUACCUUGAAGUUCUAAAUUGAUCAUGGAUUAUUAUGAUUUCCUCAGCUGAUUGCUGUAUGUGGAUUUAGUGCAUCAAAUAUAUCUGUAAAAUUUUGUAUACAUAAAACUGAUGAGCAAUUUAUCCGUAAUACUUGAUCACAGGAGCGACCUCUUGUGUUCAAAGCGGGGAUUAGACCCUCUCCUCUCAAAAAAGGACUCGUUUUGACCUUUGUAUAUUGUUAGGUCAAAAAUAUAUCCUUGAAAACGGCAAUAGUGUGAAUCUCUGGUUUGAUUCCUUUACUGAGAAAAUGAGGAGUAUGAGUAGUUAUUAAGUGUAGUCCCCAUCACCUCCAGGCUGCCUCAAUAUAUCUGACAGUGUCUUUCAAUAUAAAAGGGAUACUGAAAUUUAAGUUCCUCUGGAGUCUGUGGCAUCUGCCCAUGUGCCCUUGUAUACACCUUCCAAAAUGUGGCUGUUACACCCAACCUCCUGAUGGGCUCUUAGACUUGUGUUUUUGUGUACUGUUGCUUUCUCUGCUUUAGUUACCAUUUAAACAUUCCACAUCAAACUUAAUGUCAGAUACAGAUUCCUGCACAAACAUCAUGCUCUCAAGCUACAUUUCAAAAAUCUAAAUAGGUUUUAAUUGCAAUUGAAAGGUAAAAUUACACAUUUAGCAUUUAUUUAUCUCCCAAUAACCUCUGGCAGAUAUAAAUGAAUUUUAAGUUGUUUCUUUGGGAAAUCACAAACAGUAAGACAGCUUAUUCCUUCUCAUCUAACCAAGACUGGGAAGGGAAGAGGGGCUUUGAUCAGCUUUCCAAUGGAGGUAUAAAUUUGAGAAUUUAUUCCCAGGGAGAUGAUGCUAUAUGUUUAGCUCACAUCAGAAUCAGGUUUGAAAGAGUAGAAUAAGUUACACUGCCAGUUUUACUGAGUAAGGUAUUCAGAUGAAAAAAUAUGUAUAACUGAAGGAUUUAUAUUUUCUGAUGUCCACAUCAUAUAAUUUGGGGGCCAAAAUGAAACAGGAAGAUUUUAUUUACCUCUAAAAAUGGAUAUUGAGUAGAUGCGUAUGUAUCCCCUUUCCCGUUUUUAUCUUUUCUGUGUAGUCUCUAAUGAUGUAGAAUAAGGCUAUAUAAAUCCUCAGUAUCUUUAAUCAUGUCCAAGGGUCAGAUAAAAUUAUGUGCGUUUAAAGGGAGUUACGAUUAACCAUUUAUAUUCCACCGCGAACGGGGUGUGGGUGUUUAGAACCAAUUUGCGUCUCUUCCCGUUGGUGGUGGUGGCUUAUUGAGGAACAAUCAGGAGAAUCUGUGCUCUAAUUUCAGAGAAAAGGAAGAGAUACCAGUGGGUAUGAAAUGAUUCUCUUUUUCUUUCCUUUUACUUAAAAAAAUACUAAGCAAUGAUAAUAAAGGCAGUUGUUAACAACAACAAACCUUUAGUUGUGAUUCUUAUUCUGAUGCCUAGGACUCCUGCUGCGAUUGUGGUUUUGUUGAGUGUCAAUUGCUUUAUUAACCAGAUAAAACAGUCUGGGUGAAUUAGCAAGAAUUUUCUCUGCACGCAGAGCUUCCUAGCCUUACUUUCUGAGUUCAGGUAGUUGUUUCUGACACCAGCUUUCCUGGUAUUUCUUGGCAGACGACAGGCCAGAAGGCACCGUUCUUGUGCGGUCUGUUGCUCGGUUCUCAGCCGAGAUAGAAUUUCAUGCUCCCGGCAUCGGGGCAGCUGCGAAACCACAAACCUCAGUUCAGUCCUGAGCAUGCGAAGGUCCGCAGUUGAUUGCAGGGAGGCGUUCGGCCAAGCGAGGACGGAAAUUUGUAUUCUCCCUUUAAAAUUGUGCUUCUGAAAGUAUUUACUAUGACUUAUCAAAAGCGGCUGGCAGUGUCAAGUGAAACCUUUUUCUUGCUUCCCCCUGCCCCCUAGAACUCCUAAGUGACCAGGAACAGACGAUUUUUAACCGAGUUCUGCUGCGUGGAGCCCAGGUUGGCGCUAGUGAGUGCAGUGUGCUGACCCAAGUGGUGGUGGCCCAAGGACGCGCUGACCCGUACAUUUGGCAAAGCUUUCAUUAAAUGUAUCAGAUUCUCGCGGAAGUGGUUGCAGUCCGGAGAGUGAAACAGCUAUCUCUCAAGUCCUGACCGGUUCAGCUGAAAUCUACAUUUGCACUGAAUCUGGCAAAACACGGACGGGUCCGCCCGAGAUCUCAGGAAACCCAGAGCAAGUUACCUCCAUGUAGUUGAUCAUUCUUUCUGAAAGGACGGACACCAUUUACCCCACUGCAAUCCUGUCCAACGGGCAGCUCUGAGUUUAGCUUUAGCGCCAAAGGAUUGAUUUCCCCCACCCGCUGGAGAUUUACUGGGGACGAGCGGGGGAGGGGAGGCGAAGGUACCUCGGAGGAGGUCAAGUGGGGGAGGAGGAGGAGCAGCAGAAAAUUACCAGCCAAGCAGGGGAGGGAGUUGGAAGCCCGGAAAUAUACCAGGAUGCCUCAAGUAACCUUCCUUUAAGUCUCAGAAUUCAGCCCUCGGAAAACAGCCUCAUAAGGUGUCCUGGGAAGGAGUCCUCGGGUGGGCUGCGGAGGUGAUGUCAAGAGUUACAGCUACUUUAUGAAUUAAACUGACGGCUAAGGCAUGUCGGGACAGUUUAGUGUAAGCUGAAUGGUGCGUGGACGGGGCAACUUUUAAAGAGAGGUGGGCAAUCAUUGGUGGCAUCUACCAGUAUAUUCUGCAUGUAACAGUAGUUUGGAAGCUGAAGAAAAACCCCUCAAAUCCCAGUAAAUGCCCGGUCAGUUCGAGAGAGAUUUUAGGGACAAUUUUGAAGGUCGCUGUCUGCUCCAACUCCGCAGAGAUGAACAAGAGUGUGAACUCUGGCGCGGGUGUGUUUAGAAUUAUCUACGACUUCAGAUCCAUGCUGUUGAAACUCAUCAAUUCUUUGUGACUUCACGUGGAGAGAAGAAUUUGCCCUGCCUCCCUACCUGCUAAAUGCCGACUGAGAAAAGGGGCCCAGGAGACGACCCCUUUCAGAAAGAACGUCACUUCAUCAACUCGGCUGAGUUAUUAACUUGCUCCCCGAAAGGUCAACAACGCCUUCUCUUCUCAGCCGCACCGCGCGGAGAUCAAUCGCUUUACCCUAGGUAGCCUCUUGUUCAGGGCUCAGGAACUCCUGUCUUAAGGUCCUUCUGGGGCUCAGAAGCUGUGUUGUGUAUGUUCUUUCCAAGAAUCCCACCUGUCUGCUUUCAAGCACACACGGCGCUAGAAAUUUAGCCUAGCCUGAGUCCUGGGAUGAGAGAAGAGCUAAACAAAGAGACCCCAACCGUCCCCUUGGCCCCCUGCCCCGCCGUUUUGCAGUUUGCCAACCUUCUAGCUAGACAGCCCCCUAAGUCUCCGUGUUGCGAGUGAAAGAGAAUUUUUCUAUUUCAUCUUCCCAUUGACCGAAGCAGAAAAAUUGAACCGAAUCUACGCCCCUUGUUCUGAUUCCUGCUAGAGGAAAACAGAAAAUCAUCCCGCAGGUCUCUUUCAGUCCCUGGAUGGCGAGCGCAGCCCCUGGGAGGCCACACUUAGUUCUUUAUUGUGAAUCUCUCGCUACUCAAGUUCGUUCGGGACCAGGGCCUCGGAUGGCCUCGGUUGCCCGUAAGUACGCGAAAGAAGAGGUGAAUCCAAUCGCUGGCCUAGAGGAUAGUGAUCAGACAACCCGAGGAUUACUAAACAAGGGGCGGCGGUGUCCCUGUCUCAUGGGGUUGGCGUGGGGCGGGGGGUAGGCAGCAAGAUCCUCCAGGCUCCUGGAUGCAAAGAGUGAGAAAGAAAGCGCAGCCUCUGGCAGCCUGCUUAUAAAUGCAGCCUUUCGGAAGAUGAAACUUGCAGUCUUAGGUUGUCCUCCUUUAUAUCCAUGUUCCAAUCCUCUGGGCUUUCCUCGAAAUGAAUAAAAUUGUGGAAAUGAAUGAAUGAGAAUAUCACUUUAAUUGUUUCAAACUCAUUGUCAAGUCACCUUUUCUGCCAUCUGCCAGAGGUUCAAUUUGCGCUUCGUGUCUACAUUCCAGAAAAUUGUAAGGACGUUUCCUCUGCAUCUGUCUGCCUUGUUGGCAGCGUGCGGAAACGAUAACUGCACAGUUAUUGGUACAGAAUAUUUUCAUGACUAGCUUAAUUCUAAAUAUCACCCCAAAAUACAGAUACCUUACUUCUUAGUUGGCAUUAUUCAAGUUUAUUCACUUUGUGCUGCAAAUGUUUGAAUUAGAAAACAGGAGAGAACUCCCGCAGCAGAGAUGCACUUCUCUGCUCUCCUGUCAGUCACAGAACCCACACUGGGUGAUUAGCCAGAGGGGCGGGCUCCUUUGUUGACUUAAGAGUUCACCAGGCAAGAUGGAACAAUUAUCUUGUUGCCUCUUCUUAACUGUCUAUUGUUGACUUACUUCUAGUAUGCUUCCAUUGUACAAAAUUCUAUCCAAAAUUGAAGAAUAAAUCGUAAGUUAAAAAGGUAAUAAUGAUAAUAGGUCUACUUUAAUUUUACCUGGCUUUGUUAAUAGAUAGUCUAUACCUGACAGUCAUAUACAUAAGAGAUGUCGAAAGUAUAUAGCAUAUCAUUUAUGUAUAAUUAUAUAUGUUAUAAUUAUAUGCUAAUGAUACCAUCAUUUAACGUUACAAGGUAAUUCUAUAGAAAACUUGAAGUUCUAUUUUUGAUAUAUAUAACACCCUCUUUACAAGAAAAUAAUUGUCAGGCUUAAAAAUGAUAUUCAAGGGUGCUUUUAUCAAGAGAACAAAAUCUGAAGCUUCAUGAACUAAAAUCCUAUCAAGCAAGGUGGUCCAUAACUAGGUUGCUUUGGGUUAAUGAUAACUUAAAAUACUCUUGUUUUUGUAACUUUUUGUGCACAAAGUGCACAUUUUACAGUUGUGCAUGUCAAUGUGUGUUUUACCACUUAUUAUUCUGAAACCUUCAGUCACAUCAUUUCAGCAGGAAAUAAAACCUGAAUAAGUCCUAGGCAAUGUGUAAGGAAUAAGUAUGGUUUAACUUUUGUAGCUUAACAAUAUUGUGCUGAUCUUUAAAUGCAAAUAUUAAUAUAUUGAAAUUAAUAUAAGUAGAUAAUUUCAUCACCUCCUAAUUUAUAAAAAAUGGAAAAGCAAAUAUAACAAGCUGCUUUACUUUCUAUAAUGUCUAUUUAAGGACUCUCCCUCCUCUUUCCAGAUACAUGUACUAGCCCAGGAAGAUCCCUGCAUCUUGAACAGUAAUGCUGAAUCGGAAACUAUGUCGUUACCCAUAAGUAGAAUCCUCCUGACUUUCACUUAAAUAUCAGGACCCAAAUUAUUUUAUGUCUCACUUCAGAACAUAGCACAAUGUGCUAUUUUAUCUUCUUGGCCCAGUCUUUAGAUUUAUUCUAUACUCUCCGUGUUACAAGCUGCACAAACCAUUGGUGACAAUGAGAACCACUCUAUAUAGUUUUACUGACUUUGGAUUCUCAUAUAAUGUAUGAACAAAUAUAAGCCAUAUCUUUUAGGUCUUGACGAUGUGUUUCUUCCAAUUCUGAAGUGUUCGUAUAGUUGUCCCUAAUGUCACGUGAUACGUCUCUUCGUUGUCCUAUACCCGAGCCAUAGCAGAUCUGAUGUGACUUUGGAUAUACCAUGUGAGGGCAAGCAUUUUCUUUUAGGCUAGGCCAUCAAUGAGGAAGAAACAUGAGUAGAGCUCUUAAAGCAGAGGAAAAUGUAAGUGGAUGGAAAAAAAUCACACUUUUGAAUAUAGUAUUGGAGAAAGAAUUGAGUGUGGGUGACUUUAUUAGCUAGCAGAAGAAAGAGUGAAAAUAGGUGCUUGGCUAAGAUGAGAAAAGUAUUCAAUUUUGAAAACAGAAAGAGAAAGCUUAUUUAGAAAAAGAAAACAUGGAGUAAAUGUCAAGAGGAACAUAAAGAAAUAGGGCGUGGUGACCCAGUUCAUUCUGAUAGAAUAGGCGUUUAAGGGCAAAACCCAGAUCCGAAAUAGGUAGUGGAUGGAACUAGGGAACAGUAGAUUCAUAAUUAUUUUAACUUGGCAUUUAAAACUUUAAAAUCUGAGUUGAGGGGUUUUUUUUAAUGGUAGAAAAGCAGCUUAUUUGGCAAUAAUUUUAAAAACUUCUGUCGCAUCUUUAAUCAUACUAGACUGUUCACCUUUGUAAACUCCUCACUAUCAGUAAACUGUCAGUACACUGUCAGUACAGAAAAUACAAACUAAAAGUACUAGAAAUAUCACAAUACGGAUUUCUCUUUUUAAUGUAACUAGGUUUAUCUAACAAUAAGAUUCAGGAUUCAGAAAAGAAAAAAGACCAGAUCUGAGAAGGAAUUUUAAAAAAUGGUUUCAAAGUUUUCCAGAGUUUUGUUAGCCAUUGCCCUUUCUGCAGACGUGGUUAUAUCAGAAAGUGUAAUUCAAGUAUUUGCACUGCUUACUUAAACCACAAUAAAAAGGGAAAGAUGUUGUGAAAACACUGCCUCAUGCUCAAAUUUAUGCAAAACAACUUGAAAGGCUGCCAGCAACACUGUUGUUAUGUUAGCAGUUCUGAUCUGGCUUCACAUUCUCCUAGAGGAGUUCUUCUGAUGUGAGAAGAAUGUAAACCCAAACCACAAGGGAGUAUUCAUUGUACCUAUGCACUUGGGAAGAGUUUGGGUGCCCAAAAUGUCAGAAAAAUCAGAUACAGUUGUUCUCUUAGAAUCUAUUCUGGAGGUCACAAGGUCAGAAUGCCUGCACAUGUGCAUAAACCAACAUGCCCAUAAAAGCCUGAUAGGAGGCAGCAGUGCCCCAUAAAAGGUCACACCCAGCCAGAAUCCAGCAACGUUGGAACAGCGUCUGUUAUGGAGAAGAAAUAUGUGUCUGACAGCAGCAACAGCAGCAGCAGAGAAAGAUGGAUUGGGGAUUAAUCAUGAACCUGGGUAUUGUGGCUGGAAUUCCAUCACCC